GUUUGUUAAGGGUGCUGAGAAUUGUAGCUCUGUGAGGGGGAAUCUUCGAUUCUCAGGAUUCUUUGGGGAAUCCAUCUGCUUUAAAUGGAUGAUGUAGAAGAUGUGACCCAGGUUGACACCAGGCAGGGGCCCAUGGGCAGUAUCAGCCUAAAGGGCCAUUAAAGUCUGGCAGUGGCCCUGCUUAUCACUCUUUUAUUCCCCAUUUUGCCAUUCUUUACAUCUCCAUGCUAUUCCUUCCCCCCUCCACAUCUUUAUUUGACCCUAAUCUGCCUUUCUUCUUUUUAUUUUCCUGUUUUUAGCUCAGUAUGACCCCCUACUUCCUGCCCUCACUCAGUUUUAGCCUUUACCUCUCCCACCUAUUCACCUCUUUCCUCAUCUCCCCCUCCACACACAGAAGCACCACUUCCCAGAGCAAUGAGGUCACACUUCCAGAACCUUCCAUUGUAAGGUAUGUAACCAGUGUUUUUUUCUGGGGGGGACACAGGGGUACACAUACCCCUAAACAUUUUGUGAAUCUUUGUACUUUUGUCCAUUUACUGUAUUUAAUUCCCCCAAUUUGAACUACAAAAUUGUGAUUUUCUUGAGUCAAAAUGAGAGUACCCCUAAAUAUAUUUUUUAGAAAAAAAGCACUGUAUGUAACAAUGGCAGCCAUAAACCUUAGGAAGCAUGCUUUUUCCUCACCAAUGAGCAAUCUUGGUCAGAAGCUGCCUGUUGGAGCGGGGGGGUUGUCAAUCCCAGCACAUCUCAGGGGAAGAUUUGUCUGAAAGGAUGGCAGUUGGGGGAAAGGGAAUAUUUGAAUGCACCAAUGAAAACAGGAUCUCUCACCUCACUGGCAUGCCCAGGUAGUACCUCCAACACUUCAAAGGUGAGCAGCCAUCUUCUUGUUAUUAUCGUUCUUCCCCACCUGCUAUAUUUUUCUGCUUUGAAUCUGGCUGCAAUUUCGGUCAAUGACAGCCUAAUUUGACAGCUAUUUGAGCAGCUAUUUUUUCUGCAGGUGAAGAUGAUACAGAUGUUUUUUCUCAUGAAUACACAUUGAAAAUGAUGAAUUGAAGACUGUGCAGUAUACAAAAGCAUCUGAUGAAGAGGGGCCGAAACUUGUUCAGCUGUUUAUACUGGACCAAGCUGACUUCUAAGAUUAAAUGGAUUUGGGACUUUUUGAGUUGCAAAUUACUGUUUCAAAUACCAAGAUGUAUUUGGGUUGUUCCUCCUCUCCCCAAUCCACUGCUCCUGUUGAUUGGAAGGUCAAUAUAAGAAAAAAAUUGUACUUUUACUAGCAAAAUUUUAAUAAGAUAUCCCCAAUGUCUACCCUAAACAGGGUCACCAUAAGGGCACUUAAAAACAACAACCC